UACGGAGGGAGCUAGCGUUGUUCGGAAUUACUGGGCGUAAAGCGCGCGUAGGCGGCUUUGUAAGUUAGAGGUGAAAGCCCGGGGCUCAACCCCGGAAUUGCCUUUAAGACUGCAUCGCUUGAAUCCGGGAGAGGUGAGUGGAAUUCCGAGUGUAGAGGUGAAAUUCGUAGAUAUUCGGAAGAACACCAGCGGCGAAGGCGGCGACCUGGGUAGAUACUGACGCUGAGGUGCGAAAGCGUGGGGAGCAAACAGG
rnacentral:rRNA from 1 species